rnacentral:rRNA from 1 species
AUUGAACGCUGGCGGCAUGCUUUACACAUGCAAGUCGAACGGUAACAGGCCGCAAGGUGCUGACGAGUGGCGAACGGGUGAGUAAUGCAUCGGAACGUGCCCAGCCGUGGGGGAUAACGCAGCGAAAGCUGCGCUAAUACCGCAUACGAUCUAUGGAUGAAAGCGGGGGACCGUAAGGCCUCGUGCGACUGGAGCGGCCGAUGUCAGAUUAGGUAGUUGGUGGGGUAAAGGCUUACCAAGCCAACGAUCUGUAGCUGGUCUGAGAGGACGACCAGCCACACUGGGACUGAGACGCGGCCCAGACUCCUACGGGAGGCAGCAGUGGGGAAUUUUGGACAAUGGGCGCAAGCCUGAUCCAGCAAUGCCGCGUGCAGGAAGAAGGCCUUCGGGUUGUAAACUGCUUUUGUACGGAACGAAACGGUCCUGGUUAAUACCCGGGGCUAAUGACGGUACCGUAAGAAUAAGCACCGGCUAACUACGUGCCAGCCGCCGCCGUAACAC